UACGGGGGGGGCAAGCGUUGUUCGGAAUUACUGGGCGUAAAGGGCUCGUAGGCGGCCAACUAAGUCAGACGUGAAAUCCCUCGGCUUAACCGGGGAACUGCGUCUGAUACUGGAUGGCUAGAGGUUGGGAGAGGGAUGCGGAAUUCCAGGUGUAGCGGUGAAAUGCGUAGAUAUCAGGAGGAACACCGGUGGCGAAGGCGGCUACCUGGACAGAAACUGACGCUGAGGCGCGAAAGCUAGGGGAGCAAACAGG
rnacentral:rRNA from 1 species